GGUUAAGCGACUAAGCGUACACGGUGGAUGCCCUGGCAGUCAGAGGCGAUGAAGGACGUGCUAAUCUGCGAUAAGCGUCGGUAAGGUGAUAUGAACCGUUAUAACCGGCGAUUUCCGAAUGGGGAAACCCAGUGUGAUUCGUCACACUAUCAUUAACUGAAUCCAUAGGUUAAUGAGGCGAACCGGGGGAACUGAAACAUCUAAGUACCCCGAGGAAAAGAAAUCAACCGAGAUUCCCCCAGUAGCGGCGAGCGAACGGGGAGCAGCCCAGAGCCUGAAUCAGUGUGUGUGUUAGUGGAAGCGUCUGGAAAGGCGCGCGAUACAGGGUGACAGCCCCGUACACAAAAAUGCACAUGCUGUGAGCUCGAUGAGUAGGGCGGGACACGUGGUAUCCUGUCUGAAUAUGGGGGGACCAUCCUCCAAGGCUAAAUACUCCUGACUGACCGAUAGUGAACCAGUACCGUGAGGGAAAGGCGAAAAGAACCCCGGCGAGGGGAGUGAAAAAGAACCUGAAACCGUGUACGUACAAGCAGUGGGAGCACGCUUAGGCGUGUGACUGCGUACCUUUUGUAUAAUGGGUCAGCGACUUAUAUUCUGUAGCAAGGUUAACCGAAUAGGGGAGCCGAAGGGAAACCGAGUCUUAACUGGGCGUUAAGUUGCAGGGUAUAGACCCGAAACCCGGUGAUCUAGCCAUGGGCAGGUUGAAGGUUGGGUAACACUAACUGGAGGACCGAACCGACUAAUGUUGAAAAAUUAGCGGAUGACUUGUGGCUGGGGGUGAAAGGCCAAUCAAACCGGGAGAUAGCUGGUUCUCCCCGAAAGCU
rnacentral:rRNA from 1 species